rnacentral:rRNA from 1 species
UACAGACGACUUGCAAGCUGUUUGAUUCGGAAGUUCACUGGGCGUAAAGGGGUGCGCAGGCGGGCCGUGUAGUGUGGAGGCGAUGAAAGCCCCGGGGCUUAACCCCGGAAUUGCACCUCCAAACUUACAAUGGCUUGAGAGGCAUUGGAGGAAGGGUUAGGCAGAAUUCAAUGGGUGUAGCAGUGAAAUGCGGUAGAUAUCAUGGAGGAAUACCAGAGGCGAAGGCGGCUACCUGGACAAUUGCUGACGGCUCAGGCAACGGAAAGCCGUGGGGAGCAAAAGGG